CUUUUCUUGUUAGUUUUUGAAGUAUGGCCUGCCCACUGACUUGUUUGUUGAAGGGCCGCGGUAUUUUGACCGUGCAAAGGUAGCAUAAUCAUUAGUUCUUUAAUUGUGAUCUGGUAUGAAUGGCUUGACGAGACAUGAGCUGUCUUGGUAGUAUUAUUUAUUGAAUUUGGGUUUUGAGUUAAAAUACUUAAAUGUAUUUAUGGGACGAGAAGACCCUAUAGAGUUUGACAAUUUUCUUAUUUGUUUAGUUGUUUGUUUAUUUUUAUUGAGUGGGAAGGAUUUUGUUUUGUUGGGGUGAUGGGAGGAAUUUAUAUAACUCCUCUUUAUUUUUAUAUAUUUGUAUAUAUUCAUUUUGGUCCAUUUAUUUUGAUUAUAAGAUUAAAUUACC
rnacentral:rRNA from 1 species